CUACUAUAAAAAAGAAAGUUAAAGAUUUACAGUUUAGUUCUGCACCCGCCCGAGUCCCGGAGCCCAGAGCUCAACUCACCGAAACCGUCAGCCGACGCCUCUGAUUGCUUCCUCCGCCAAAGGGCCCCGGCUGAAAUCAAUCCGAUGAUGGCAUCUGAUCAGGUUUACUCAAGGGGCCAGGGGACUGAGACCAGAGCGGGAAGUGAGGGUGACUCUGAACAAGGGAACUUCAGUGACUUGGUAUCUCCACAGGAAGAGGAAGCCCAGCCUGGUGGUCGUGAAAACAAGUGUGUUCUUUCGAAAAGAGAUCCCAGGAGCACUGUGAGUUAGUUCUGUGUGAUGACGGGUCCUUCCUAUUUUUCUCCCCUACCCAGAGCUGUGC